AGUACAGGUUCCAAGGUGACCAAGAAUAUGACAAGCAGAGAGUUACAAUAUUUAUUGGAGUGGUUUAUGGGACUUUUCAAGUUAAAACUUCCUUGACCUCAUAACCAAAUUUGGGAUUGCUAGCAAGUGCUAAGAAGAAUAGAAAGAAGAAAAUGAAAUUGACUGUCAUGGUUAGGAACUACCAAUGGAACUUUGCUGUGUAUCAACUUUGGUUUUGUGAUAAUUAAGAUGUUCCAUGCCCAAUCUUUGAUGUGGCUCCGCCUAAGAAGAAAGCUAGAAUGAAGGCAAAAGCUCACUGUCGAUGUAUAAACGGAGACUCCAUGUGAGGUAAAAUUUUCGAGACUAAGAAUUUGUUUUGUAUCUUUUAACCAUUGACCUAUAGGAAUCAAGAUCAGUUGUAAGUAGAGGAUCUAGUGUGACCAGGUGCAAAAUGAAGGUUUCUAAAAAAGGCCCAAUCUCUUCAAAUAUUGAGCAAAAAGUGGAGGGAGCACUUCAACCAAAAGUUCAUAGUUAAAGACCAAGCUACUCAAAAGCCAUCUAAAGGUCCAGUUGGCCAAUGUAGCUCCUCCAAACAACCAACAACCAAUCUUGAAGAAAGUUCCUUGCCUAUAGGUUCAUAACUCAACAAUAUCAUUGAAAUAUUACAUAUCCUAUUUCUAGUUGUUCACCUUUAUAGGACACUGCACAUAAUAUGCUGGAAUACUUGUAGAAGUUAAAAGCUUGCCCUAGCUCACUUGCCCCAUUGUAUGGAAGCACCAAAGUCAAGUUUCGAAGCUGAAACUUCCCCAAGUGAAAAUGAACUAAAAGCAACUAUGAACAAGGUCAAUGAAGGUUUAUCGGUGGGCCUGACAAUUUUUCUUAACCAUAAGGCUGAUAAAGAGUUAAAAGAUGACUUGCAAAAAUCUCCAAUGUUUCAAAAAGAUGAUAAGCAUUGGCCAAAAUGUUGCUCUUGGGGCCUUUUUGAGGGAACUGGAUGUGCUUUCAGUUCAGUAUAAAACUACUGACAAAUUACCAAGGUGUUUGCAAGGAGAAAAGCACGAGAAUUAGCCAAAAAAAAAAACUUUUGAAAUGAAGGUUGAAAAGCUUAAGGAGAUAAAGAUCCAAACCUGCAAAAACCUGGAGAGGAUUCAAACAUUGGAGGUAGAGCUAGCUACUUUGAAGAGGGAGCAAGACUGUCUUUUGGCAGAAAGCAAGACAUGUAGAAAGAUAGCUGAAGAAAACAUUUUCAAGUCUGACUGUUGAGCUACAGAAGCUUCAGCCUAAAGAAGAGGCUGCCAAAAAGGAUAUGACCAAUGUCUCUAGUCCUUUUGUUACAUUGAAAUCAUCUUUGUUAUAAUCAAUCAGUAUGCUUUUCAAUCUUGUACAUAGUUUUCCCCUAGCCAACUGCUGUGUUUGCUCUUUGAACAAUUUAUAAAAGUUGAUCAUUGGGAGGCUUGAUCUU